UCCCAGGUGGCUCAGACGGUAAAGCAACUGUCUACAAUGCUGUAGACCCAGGUUUGAUCCCUGGGUUGGGAU
rnacentral:tRNA from 1 species